rnacentral:rRNA from 1 species
AGAUUAAGUUAUUAAGGGCGCACGGUGGAUGCCUUGGCACUAGAAGCCGAUGAAGGACGUUACUAACGACGAUAUGCUUUGGGGAGCUGUAAGUAAGCUUUGAUCCAGAGAUUUCCGAAUGGGGAAACCCAGCAUGAGUUAUGUCAUGUUAUCGAUAUGUGAAUACAUAGCAUAUCAGAAGGCACGCCCGGAGAACUGAAACAUCUUAGUACCCGGAGGAAGAGAAAGAAAAUUCGAUUCCCUUAGUAGCGGCGAGCGAAACGGGAAGAGCCCAAACCAACAAGCUUGCUUGUUGGGGUUGUAGGACACUCUGUACGGAGUUACAAAGGACGACAUUAGACGAAUCAUCUGGAAAGAUGAAUCAAAGAAGGUAAUAAUCCUGUAGUCGAAAAUGUUGUCUCUCUUGAGUGGAUCCUGAGUACGACGGAGCACGUGAAAUUCCGUCGGAAUCUGGGAGGACCAUCUCCUAAGGCUAAAUACUCUCUAGUGACCGAUAGUGAACCAGUACCGUGAGGGAAAGGUGAAAAGCACCCCGGAAGGGGAGUGAAAUAGAACCUGAAACCGUGUGCUUACAAGUAGUCAGAGCCCGUUAAUGGGUGAUGGCGUGCCUUUUGUAGAAUGAACCGGCGAGUUACGAUUUGAUGCAAGGUUAAGCAGUAAAUGUGGAGCCGUAGCGAAAGCGAGUCUGAAUAGGGCGUUUAGUAUUUGGUCGUAGACCCGAAACCAGGUGAUCUACCCUUGGUCAGGUUGAAGUUCAGGUAACACUGAAUGGAGGACCGAACCGACUUACGUUGAAAAGUGAGCGGAUGAACUGAGGGUAGCGGAGAAAUUCCAAUCGAACCUGGAGAUAGCUGGUUCUCUCCGAAAUAGC